UAAAGCAAGCACCCAGAUAAAAACAAUUCAAACGCAGAUUAUUUUUGACAAAAAUGUAUCUGUGGGUCAAACUUGUAGUAGCCAAGUAGAAAGUUAUAGAAUAAGAAUAAAAGGUGUAAUUUAUUUAACUGCAAUACUGAACCCAUCUUUUGCUGCAGGAAUUAAAUGUUGAGGUCCAUUACAGAACCAUUUUUUUUCUAAAUGUUUAGCCAAAUAAAGCUAAAGUUAACUUU
rnacentral:lncRNA from 1 species